rnacentral:lncRNA from 1 species
GCCCACCAAAUGAUUUUGCUUGACGACGCAGUCGAUUCGUUGCCGCCAAUCCUCUUCCACCGCCGUUGAAAACUAAUCGCUGCAAACUAACCUACUGGUCUUACGGGUUUGCAUGCAUGCAUGUAGUUCAAAAUGAUUGGUUAGUUUUCUCUGCAACAUUCGUUGUUGCUUCUCCGGAUUUGAAAAGCAGAAAGGAUAGCUGCUGGCUGCUUCUCCGGAAUGAAAAACAGAGAAAAAAACCUCUGCUGGCUCUAAAACCCGAUACCCGUUAUAAUAUUAAUAUAUAUAUA